CGUGUAGGCGGCCUCUUAAGUCUGGUGUGAAAGCCCGGGGCUUACCCCCGGAAGUGCAUUGGAAACUGGGAGGCUAGAGUACCGGAGAGGAGGGUGGAAUUCCUGGUGUAGCGGUGAAAUGCGUAGAUAUCAGGAGGAACACCGGUGGCGAAGGCGGCCCUCUGGACGGAUACUGACGCUGAGACGCGAAAGCGUGGGGAGCAAACAGGAUUAGAUACCCUGGUAGUCCACGCCGUAAACGAUGGGCACUAGGUGUUCGGGGUAUUGACCCCCUGAGUGCCGCAGCUAACGCAUUAAGUGCCCCGCCUGGGGACUACGGCCGCAAGGUUAAA
rnacentral:rRNA from 1 species